rnacentral:rRNA from 1 species
GGCCAGACUCCUACGGGAGGCAGCAGUGGGGAAUAUUGGGCAAUGGGCGAAAGCCUGACCCAGCAACGCCGCGUGAAGGAAGAAGGCUUUCGGGUUGUAAACUUCUUUUGACAGGGAAGAGCAGAAGACGGUACCUGCAAAGGAAGCACCGGCUAACUCCGUGCCAGCAGCCGCGGUAAUACGGAGGGUGCGAGCGUUAAUCGGAAUUACUGGGCGUAAAGCGCUCGUAGGCGGUAUGUCAAGUCAAGGGUGAAAUCCCCGCGCUCAACGUGGGAACUGCCUUUGAAACUGGCAAACUGGAGUGUGUGAGAGGAUAGUGGAAUUCCAGGUGUAGGAGUGAAAUCCGUAGAUAUCUGGAGGAACAUCAGUGGCGAAGGCGACUAUCUGGCACAUAACUGACGCUGAGGAGCGAAAGCGUGGGUAGCAAACAGGAUUAGAUCCCCCCGUA